rnacentral:rRNA from 1 species
GGGUUUGCCCUAGUAACGGCGAGUGAAGCGGCAACAGCUCAAAUUUGAAAGCUAGCCUUCGGGUUCGCAUUGUAAUUUGUAGAGGAUGAUUUGGGGAAGCCGCCUGUCUAAGUUCCUUGGAACAGGACGUCAUAGAGGGUGAGAAUCCCGUAUGUGACAGGAAAUGGCACCCUAUGUAAAUCUCCUUCGACGAGUCGAGUUGUUUGGGAAUGCAGCUCUAAAUGGGAGGUAAAUUUCUUCUAAAGCUAAAUAUUGGCGAGAGACCGAUAGCGCACAAGUAGAGUGAUCGAAAGAUGAAAAGCACUUUGGAAAGAGAGUUAAAAAGCACGUGAAAUUGUUGAAAGGGAAGCGCUUGCAAUCAGACUUGUUUAAACUGUUCGGCCGGUCUUCUGACCGGUUUACUCAGUUUGGACAGGCCAGCAUCAGUUUCGGCGGCCGGAUAAAGGCUCUGGGAAUGUGGCCUCCACUUCGGUGGAGGUGUUAUAGCCCAGGGUGUAAUACGGCCAGCCGGGACUGAGGUCCGCGCUUCGGCUAGGAUGCUGGCGUAAUGGUUGUAAGCGACCCGUCUUGAACCACGGACCAAA